rnacentral:rRNA from 1 species
GAUGAACGCUGGCGGCGUGCAUAACACAUUCAAGUCGAACGGAGCUAUUGAAAUUAAUCCUUCGGGAGGCGUUUUGAGAGCUUAGUGGCGGACGGGUGAGUAACGCGUGAGCAACCUGCCUCUGUGUGCGGGUAUAACGUCGGGAAACUGACGCUAAUACCGCAUGACAUAAUUUUACCGCAUGAUAGAAUUAUCAAAGAUUUAUUGCACAGAGAUGGGCUCGCGUCUGAUUAGAUAGUUGGUAAGGUAACGGCUUACCAAGUCAACGAUCAGUAGCCGGACUGAGAGGUUGAACGGCCACAUUGGAACCGAGAUACCGGCCCAA